AUUGAACGCUGGCGGCAUGCCUAACACAUGCAAGUCGAACGGUAACAGGAAGACGCGUGCUGCUUUGCUGAGGAGUGGCGGACAAGUGAGCAAUAUGUGCGAAACUGCCUGAUGGAGGGGGAUAACAACUGGAAUCGUUACCUAAGACCGCAUAACGUCGCAAGACCAAAGAGGGCGACCUUGGUUCCCCUGGCGAUCGGAUAGGCGCAGAUGUGAUUAGCUAGUAGUUGGGGUAACGGCUCACCUAGGCGCCGAUCUCUAGCUGGUCUGAGAGGAUGACCAGCCACACUGGCACUGAGACACGGCCCAGACUCCUACGGGAGGCAGCAGUGGGGAAUAUUGCACAAUGGGCGCAAGCCUGAUGCAGCAAUGCCGCGUGUAGGAAGAAGGACUUCGGGUUGUAAAGUGCUUUAGGCGGGGAGGAAGGGAGUAACGUUAAUACCUGUGGUUAAUGACGGUACCCGCAGAAUAAGCACCGGCUAACUCCGUG
rnacentral:rRNA from 1 species